GAACUUCUAAUUUCCAAUAGUCUAAACACAAAUUAGUUUUGGAGAAAAUUAGAAUGAUGUGGAAAUUUUGGAUAAUGAUGUGGAGAUUUUCAUUCUCAUAUUAGUUUUGGAGAAAAUUAGAGUAAUAGAUAGAUGUCAAGUUCUCUCUUAUAUCCAAUAAUCUCUCCCAUCAUAAAGAUGGGGAGGUUUUAAUUUUUCAAUUAAAUUUGGAGAAGAGUAGAAUGAUUGAUAGAUGUCAAGUUCUCUUGGACUUCCACA
rnacentral:lncRNA from 1 species